UCUGUCACUAGAGUGAGGGAAGGGGGUGACUAGUGGCAGAGUGAGGGAAGGAAGGGGUGACUAGUGACAAAGUGAGGGAGGUGGUGACUGUCACUAGUCACCACCUCCCUCACUCUGUCACUAGUCACCACCUCCCUCUGUCACUACUCCCUCCUUCUGUCACUAGUCACCCCCUCCCUCACUCUGUCACCUGUCACCCCCUCACUCUGUCACUAGUCACCCCCUCACUCUGUCACCAGUCACCCCCUUACUCUGUCACUAGUCACCCCCUCACUCUAGUGACAGA